GCUUAGGGAAUAAUAGCUAUUAGUAGAAGAAGGAGGAGACCAUCCUGGUUACUCUCCAAGGAAGUAAUUCAGUGAAUCUGACUCCUUGGUAAGAAGUAACAUUAACAGAGCAAUUGGGUGCCUACCUGACUCUUGCCAGGACACAAUUGACAAGAUCCUGGGGGCCUCUGAGAAGAUAAUGAGGACAUCUAACACACUGGUAUUCUUCAAUCAUAGACAGGGC
rnacentral:lncRNA from 1 species